UAAGAAAUGGUGUAGAGGGAGCACGAGGGGUUUUGAUCUCCUUUGGGUAGGUUCGAG
rnacentral:tRNA from 1 species